rnacentral:rRNA from 1 species
UAGCCUGCAUGUGCAGCACGAGCCGCUCAGUCGGCGAAGCCGCGAAUGGCUCAUUACAACAGCCAUAGUUUCUUGGACAGUGGCUUCCUACUUGGAUAACUGCGGUAAUUCUGGAGCUAAUACACGCACUCGGCCCGGACCCCCGUCACAGGGGGAACAGGCGCAUUUAUUAGACACAGAGCCAACACGGCCGUCGGCGCGAGCCGGCGCGCCGGAUUCUCAUUGGCGAAUCUGAAUAACCUGGCGGAUCGCUCGGUCUUUGCACCGGCGACGCGUCCUUCAAAUGUCUGCCUUAUCACGUUUCGACGGCCAUGUAGUGAAUGGUCGUGCGAUUCACGGGUAACGGAGGAUCAGGGUUCGACUCCGGAGAGGGAGCCUGAGAAACGGCUACCACAUCUAAGGAAGGCAGCAGGCGCGCAAAUUACCCACUCUCGGCGCGGGGAGGUAGUGACGAAAUGUAACGAGGCGGUUCUCUUCGAGGCCCGUCAUCGGAAUGGGCGCGACUUAAACCAGCCCAGCGAGGAUCUAUU